AUAUUGUCACAAUGAAAGGUAUCGAGACUUCUGUACAGGAGAUAAUAUAUUAUAACACAAACAUAAAAUAAAUCAAGCGUGACAUUAUGAAAACCGGAUAACGUCAUGACACUAACAGUCAAGAUGGUUUCCACGAGGACGUGUUGUUUUGUAGGAUUAAUAUUCGUAAUAACUUUAAUACAGUUUUCACAAGCCUUUCAAUGUUAUUCCUGUACCUAUAUAUUCGCUGGUAAUGAUGGAACUUAUGAUUACGGCUGUGUAAAUGAUACACAAAAUUUUACCGUGAACAUGCAAAAGUUUGAAUGUGAAUUACCGAAACAGUGUGUUAUUCAUGCUGUCUUCGCAGAAAGUUUUGGCACAAUGCAGUCGAUGGAUCGGGGAUGUAGAGAACCCGCAGCUCCUGACGGUUGUGUUGAUGUCUCAACCAGACCUGCUUGCGACUUCAGUUGUUCCAGUGAAUUAUGUAAUGAUAUCAAUGGUGAUUUAAGGAAAGUUAUCUAAAUAAGAAGACAACCAUGGAAAUACGACCAGGCAGCAGCUAUGUCUCGACAACAGGUUAUCUGAACAAAAAAGAACUUGGAUGUUGACCAAAUUUGAUAUGGAUCCUAUAUGCCUUGAUGAAUCUGAACCCGAACUCCGAAAUGAAAGGUUUUAGUUCGAGGUACACCAGCUGCUACUGAGACAUUAGCCGAGUUUUGUACAAGUUCUUCCCUCAUUCAGGGAAAAAUAUUUCAACCUAAAGUUGGUGAUAGUAUUGAUGCAACAACAGAAAGUCGAAUAUUCCAGGCCAAAUUACGAGAUCAUCUAGUGACAUCAUUAAAUUUUUCUACAGCCCGUGAUGUAGAAUUAGCAUGGAUUGAUGCCCAGUUGAAUUAUAUAGAAAAUGACGAACCAGUCGAUUCAAAUACUUUAUCGGAGGAGAGGAAUAAAAAAGAAAAAGAUUCGGAAAUAAUACCAACAUUAGAUUGUCUUCCAUCUAAUAAGGUACCAACACAUACAUCCGUAUUUAUUAAUGAACCAAAAUUAUCUGACUUUAAACUGGUCUUAUUACAAGAGAAAAUACCAUGUGUGUUCGUUGCUGGUGUUUUAAUAUGUGAUAACAAGGUGGCAGUCGGAAGGAAUAAAGCUGGAAAAAUUCAGUUAGAGGGGACAUUAUGUAAUGAAUAUUAUCGUGUCAGAGAAUUACUAUAUCAGCAAUAUGCUAUUGUUUAAAUCUGUAUAUAAAUCAUUGUUAAUAAAACUCAUUUGUCAUAUCAUUAUAAUGUAUACCGGUAGUUGAUUUAUAUAAUUAAAGAGGCGUUAUUCAAGAGCUAAUUAGACAUUUAUUAACAUGACAAGACCAUAAUCAACUCUUGAUGCCAUCAGAUGGCUCUGAUUUUAAGUAGAUUAGAACAGUUUGGUCAUUUAAUGAUUUAAUUUAAACAUGGAGAAGAGAGGCUAAGACUCAAAUAAACAGCACCGUGGUUACAAUAAUAAACAAUCAAUGCAGACAUCUUGUCAAAACUACAAACAGUCAUUAUUUUGCUCAGAAUAAAGUAAUUUGAAUGAAAUUUUCAAUGUAUUCAUUUUGCAUUAUCUAUUUUUGAACUAUUAUACAUGUAGCAAGAACGGCCAGAUCUUUAAAUCUUACAUUAUGUAUCUUUUAAGAUGAUUUAGUAUUCAUAUUAUGCUGCUGAUUAUUGGCUUGGCAUGGAUAAUCCACUAGUCAUUCGGAUGGUGAAAAAAAUGAGGUCCUGUGAAUAUCAUUGACAGUACAUUAAAGAUCCACUGACAGUUGGAAAUCUGGGUAAAACUUGUAUACAGGCCAGACAAAUUAGUAGUUGGACUGACCAUAAAUUGCAAAAGAAAUUUACAUCUGAAUUCAUUCAGAUCGGAUGUGACGGAAAACUGAGGUCCUGUGUAUACAUUGGUGUACACGUAAAAGAACCCUUGACAGAUGGAAUUCGAUAUAAGAGUAAGCCGUAGCGCCGCUGCCCGGGCAAAAUUUCCCUCAUAGCACACUGUAUGCCAUAUGCCCAUCAUCAUUAGCUCAGUCAGUGCAGAAAGUAAACUCUGGGCUUUAGCCCCAUGUAAUUAAAAAAAAAUCAUUCUACUAAGAAAAUACAGGGUCCACGAAACCAAAUUAUGGUAUUCUAAUGACAUUAUAAAGAUUGCAUAAUGGAAAA